AUUGAACGCUGGCGGCAUGCUUUACACAUGCAAGUCGGACGGCAGCGGUGUAGUGCUUGCACUACUGCCGUCGAGUGUCGAUCGGGAGAGUAUUAUUAUGGAAUGUACCGAGUAAUGGGGGAUAACCAAUCGAAAUUUUAGCCAAUACCUCAUACGCCCUGAUGAUGAAUGCAGCGGACCUUCUGGUCUUGCGUUAUUCGAGCAGCCCAUAUCUGUUUAGCUAGUUGGUGGGGUAAGGUCCUACCAAGGCGACGAUCAGUAGCGGGUCUGAGAGGAUGAUCCGCCACACUGGGACUGGGACACGGCCAAGACUCCUACGGGAGGCAGAAGUGGGGAAUUUUGGACAAUGGGCGCAGGCCUGAUCAAGCCAUGCCGCGUGGCUGAAGAAGGCCUUCGAGUUGUAAAGGACUUUUGUUAGGGAAGAAAAAGGAGCGGUUAAUAACCGUAUCUGCUGACGGUACCUUAAGAAUAAGCACCGGCUAACUACGUG
rnacentral:rRNA from 1 species